rnacentral:rRNA from 1 species
AAUGUUUAGCGCAAGCUGAUUGCAUAGUCAUUUUUUUACGACAAUAUUAAGUUAAUACAUCUGAUAUGUAUGGUAAGAUAUAUAUAUCUAAUAUGUAUAUCCAAAAAUAUAUAUUGGAUGUAAAUUUAGUUGUGCAAGAUCGACAUUGUUGAAUAAAGUUCUAGGUAGAGUUAUGAUAAUGACAUUUUCUAUCUAUGUGUCUCGACCAAAUCACGUGCCAGCAGUCGCGGUAAGACGUGGGAGACUAGUGUUAUUCAUCUUUAUUUGGUUUAAAGGGUACUUAGACGGCUAAUCAAGCCCGCAAAGGGUACUAAUUGGCUAGAGUUUUAUGUGAGAAGGGGAGUACUAAAGAGUGUAGAGAUGAAAUGCUAUGAUACCUAACUUGGAACAGUCAACGGCGAAGGCGACCUUUUAUGUAAAAACUGACGUUGAAGGACGAAGGCUUAGGACACCAACAGGAUUAGAUACCCUGGCAGUCUAGGCAGACAAUGAUGAAUGUCAUAGAUUAGAGUUAUAAUUUUGUCUAUAAAUGAAAGUGUAAGCAUUCCACCUCAAGAGUAAUGCGGCAACGCAGGAACUGAAAUCAUUAGACCGUUUCUGAAACCAGUAGUGGAGUAUGUUGUUUAAUUUGUAUGUACGCAAAAAACCUUACCACAGUCUGAAUAGAUAUUUAUAUAUCAUACAAGCGUUGCACGGCUGUUUUCAGUUAAUGUCGUGAGAUAUUGGUUAGCUCCAUUAAUUAACGUAAACCCUUGCUUUAUUUCUUAUUAUAAAGUAGUUCACCGGCACAAUGGUCAUGAUAAAAGGGAUUAAGACAAGUCAAUAUGGCCUUAGUAUUGUGGGCUAUAGACGUGCUACAUAGGCCUUUACAAAGGGAUGCGAAAUUGUGAAAUU